rnacentral:rRNA from 1 species
UGGAUUAGGCAUGCAAGUCGCACGAGGGAGCGUCCCGAAAGGGGCGCAAACCGAGUGGCGUAAGGGUGAGUAAUGCAUUGAUAACCUACCUUUGAGAUGGGAACAACAACGUUCCAAGUAAUUGGGGCUACCGAAAGGGUUGCUAAUUCUCAAUAAAAAUGCUGACACUUUGGUGUCGGCAGUCAAAGAAAUGGAUCUGAAAAGGUCCAUUUGCUCAGAGAGGGGUCAAUGUCCUAUCAGCUAGUUGGUAGGGUAAUGGCCUACCAAGGCGAAGACGGGUAGCCGGCCUGAGAGGGUGGUCGGCCACACUGGGACUGAGACACUGCCCAGACUCCUACGGGAGGCUGCAGUCGAGAAUCU